rnacentral:rRNA from 1 species
UACGUAGGGUGCGAGCGUUGUCCGGAAUUAUUGGGCGUAAAGGGCUCGUAGGCGGUUUGUCGCGUCGGGAGUGAAAUCCACUGGCUUAACUGGUGGCUUGCUUUCGAUACGGGCAGACUGGAGGCAUGCAGGGGAGAACGGAAUUCCUGGUGUAGCGGUGGAAUGCGGCAGAUAUCAGGAGGAACACCGGUGGCGAAGGCGGGUCUCUGGGCAGUGAACUGACGCUGGAGGAGCGAAAGCGUGGGGAGCGAA